AGGACGAACGCUGGCGGCGUGCCUAACACAUGCAAGUCGAACGGAGCUAUUUGACCGAUUCCUCGGGAUGAAGAAUUUUAGUUAGUGGCGGACGGGUGAGUAACGCGUGAGUAACCUGCCUCUGAGAGGGGAAUAACGUUCUGAAAAGAACGCUAAUACCGCAUAACACAUAUUUGCCGCAUGACAGAUAUGUCAAAGAUUUUUAUCGCUCGGAGAUGGACUCGCGUCCGAUUAGUUAGUUGGUGAGGUAACGGCUCACCAAGACCGCGAUCGGUAGCCGGACUGAGAGGUUGAACGGCCACAUUGGGACUGAGACACGGCCCAGACUCCUACGGGAGGCAGCAGUGGGGGAUAUUGCGCAAUGGGGCAACCCUGACGCAGCAACGCCGCGUGAAGGAUGAAGGUUUUCGGAUUGUAAACUUCUGUUGACAGGGACGAUAAUGACGGUACCUGUUCAGAAAGCUCCGGCUAACUACGUGCCAGCCGCUGC
rnacentral:rRNA from 1 species